rnacentral:rRNA from 1 species
CUGCGUGAAGUCGGAAUCGCUAGUAAUCGCGGAUCAGCAUGCCGCGGUGAAUACGUUCCCGGGCCUUGUACACACCGCCCGUCACACCAUGAGAGUCGGGAACACCCGAAGUCCGUAGCCUAACCGUAAGGAGGGCGCCGCCGAAGGUGGGAUUGAUGACUGGGGUGAAGUCGUAACAAGGUAAC